UACAGAGGGUGCAAGCGUUAAUCGGAAUUACUGGGCGUAAAGCGUGUGUAGGUGGUUUGUUAAGUCAGAUGUGAAAUCCCCGGGCUCAACCUGGGAACUGCAUUUGAUACUGACAGGCUAGAGUGUGGUAGAGGAUAGUGGAAUUCCCGGUGUAGCGGUGAAAUGCGUAGAUAUCGGGAGGAACAUCAGUGGCGAAGGCGGCUAUCUGGACUAACACUGACACUGAGACACGAAAGCGUGGGGAGCAAACAGG
rnacentral:rRNA from 1 species